rnacentral:rRNA from 1 species
GACGAACGCUGGCGGCACGCCUAACACAUGCAAGUCGAACGGACUUACAAGAGCUUGCUUUUUUAAGUUAGUGGCGGACGGGUGAGUAACACGUGAGCAACCUGCCUCUGAGAGGGGGAUAGCUUCUGGAAACGGAUGGUAAUACCCCAUAAAAUAUAAAUAUCGCAUGAUAGAUAUAUCAAAGAAAUUCGCUCAGAGAUGGGCUCGCGUCUGAUUAGAUAGUUGGUGAGGUAACGGCUCACCAAGUCGACGAUCAGUAGCCGGACUGAGAGGUUGAACGGCCACACUGGGACUGAGACACGGCGCAGACUCCUACGGGAGGCAGGAGUGGGGGAUAUUGCACAAUGGAGGGAACUCAGAUGCAGCGAUGCCGCGUGGAGGAAGAAGGUUUUCAGAUUGUAAACUCCUUUUAUCAGGGACGAUAAUGACGGUACCUGAAGAAAAAGCUCCGGCUAACUACGUG